CUUAUUCGGAUAAAUAUUAUUCAUUUUUAAGGCGUGUAUAUCGAUAAUCGAGAUUCAUGAACGAAGAUUAUUAGAAAAUUUGUCUUCUAAUCUUUUCGAUCUCCACCCCCCACCCCCUGUCCCCGCCCUCGCCCCCGUCUCUCUCAAACUUUCUGUCUAUCUGUCUGUCUGUCUUAUAAGUGUCUCUCUUUCAACGAUAAAGGAUAUAAAUCGUCGUACGAAUCGAUGAUUUUGUUUAAAAGGGGGAAUCGUAUGGGCAACGCGACUACCGGUUUGGUUUUUCUAUUCGAAAUAACGUUAACGUUGACCCAGUUUGUCAAAAGCAAUUAGACUUUUGCGUUGUCGUAGGACUAUACCGCGCGUGUUGAAGGGAAAAGAAAGGAAGAAAAAGAAAAUAAAUACUCGAAGAAAGAAAGAAAGAAAGGAUUCGAUUGGUCGAUCGUCGUCGAGUCAAAGUCGGAUUGUCAAAGUUUGA
rnacentral:lncRNA from 1 species